UACGUAGGGGGCAAGCGUUGUCCGGAUUUAUUGGGCGUAAAGAGCGUGUAGGCGGCUUCACAGGUCUGCUGUGAAAACUCGAGGCUCAACCUCGAGAGGUCGGUGGAAACCGUUUGGCUAGAGUCCGGAAGAGGAGAGUGGAAUUCCCGGUGUAGCGGUGAAAUGCGCAGAUAUCGGGAAGAACACCCGUGGCGAAGGCGGCUCUCUGGGACGGUACUGACGCUGAGACGCGAAAGCGUGGGGAGCGAACAGG
rnacentral:rRNA from 1 species